rnacentral:misc_RNA from 1 species
GAAAUGCGAUAAGUAAUGUGAAUUGCAGAAUUCCGUGAAUCAUCGAAUCUUUGAACGCACAUUGCGCCCUCUGGUAUUCCGGGGGGCAUGCCUGUCCGAGCGUCAUUGCGAACCCCUCAAGCACGGCUUGUGUGAUGGGCCCUCCCGCGUCUUGGUCGUCAAGACGGGCCCGAAAUGCAGUGGCGGCUUCGCGGUUAUCCGAUCAGCCAGAGCGUAUGGGGACUUUCUCUCUGUCACACGCCCGCGGCGCGGACCGACGCCUGUCGACCUCUAUUCAUCUUUUUCUCGUUUGACCUCGGAUCAGGUAGGGAUACCCGCUGAACUUAAGC